rnacentral:rRNA from 1 species
AUUGAACGCUGGCGGCAGGCCUAACACAUGCAAGUCGAACGGUAACAGGAAGAAGCUUGCUUAUUUGCUGACGAGUGGCGGACGGGUGAGUAAUGUCUGGGAAACUGCCUGAUGGAGGGGGAUAACUACUGGAAACGGUAGCUAAUACAGCAUAACGUCGCAAGACAAAAGAGGGGGACCUUCGGGGCUCUUGCCAUCGGAUGUGCCCAGAUGGGAUUAGCUAGUAGGUGGGGUAACGGCUCACCUAGGCGACGAUCCCUAGCUGGUCUGAGAGGAUGACCAGCCACACUGGAACUGAGACACGGUCCAGACUCCUACGGGAGGCAGCAGUGGGGAAUAUUGCACAAUGGGCGCAAGCCUGAUGCAGCCAUGCCGCGUGUAUGAAGAAGGCCUUCGGGUUGUAAAGUACUUUCAGCGGGGAGGAAGGGAGUAAAGUUAAUACCUUUGCUCAUUGACGUUACCCGCAGAAGAAGCACCGGCUAACUCCGUG